GAACUGCGGCGGUGGUGGCUGGGCCACCAGAGGGAAGCGGGUGUGGCCCAGGCAGCGGGGGCUGGGACAGACCUGGAAAGGAGGAAGCGGGGAAGGAAGGUUGUCCUGUCGGGCUGGGGGCUCCCGGGAAUCCGGAGGCCAGCAGUGGAACCGCAAGGCUCUACAGGGCAGAUCUGCCUCCCGUGCUGUCUCAGCUACGCCGAGUCGUUGGCUCAGGGCGGAGGAUUUUCCUAUUGGCCGCGUUAUUUGAAUGGAAUGGAGGAUAGGUCGUGAAGGUGGAACCAAGCAGAGGGGUUCACCCAAGCCAUCUUUGGGUGCUUCCAUGGGAAAGAAGGAUUUCACUGAGAAUAAUAAGUGACACCAAGGCUCAAAAGAAUGAGAGAGAAGUCUGUUGGUCUCUUGAACAGCAGGGAUUUGCUCACAGAUCUCUGGAAGUAGCCAGAAUGUGACAGGAUCUCAAAAUGAAUGGCUGCUUCAUGGAGGCUGGAACAUAAGCCUGGGACUCCCAGUAGCCAAACAUAGCUGUGCCACAAACAUGGCUGAAAUGUAGCAGUUUGGUGGAUCCGAGGUCAGUCAUUGAAAAUGUAUUGAUUGGCACCUAUUCUUUGUGAAUCAUUAUUCUGGGUUCUGGGGUCACAGGAGCAAAUGAAACAAAUGAAGUACCUGCCAUCAAUGAGCUUACAUUCUAGUAAAGAGGGACAGAAAAUGAAUACAUUUUAAAUGAAUAAAUUCAGAUACCGCUAAAUGUAGUGAAGAAAAAAAUUGGGCUAAAGAGAGCGAAAAACAAUUUCUGAAGUUACUAGCAGUGAAGGGUGGGGGAAGAGAAGAGACGGAUUUAACCAGGAAAGAUCUGAGCUGAGGGUGUAUCCAGGUUUUCUGGAACCUGAUAUUAUUACAGUUUAGAGAUUCUUCUUCAAGAAAAAGAAUUUAAAAUUACAAAUAAUUAACUUCAGGGCCUUGGAAGGGGUCCACUCAAGUGAACAGAAAAUUAUGUGCUCCUUAUAAAAUAUAUGAUUUAAAACUACAACAGUGGCUGGCCGUGGUGGCUCAUGCCUGUAAUCCCAGCACUUUGGGAGGCUGAGGCAGGUGGAUCGCGAAGUAAAGAGAUCGAGACCAACCUGGCCAACAAUGGUGAAACCCCGUCUCUACUAAAAAUACAAAAAUUAGCUGGGCGUGGUGGCAUGUGCCUGGUGUCCCAGCUACUUGGGAGGCAGAGGCAGGAGAAUCGCUUGAACCUGGGAGGUGGAGGUUGCAGUGAGCCGAGAUUGUGCCACUGCACUCCAGCCUGGCGACAGAGUGAGACGUCUC
rnacentral:lncRNA from 1 species